rnacentral:rRNA from 1 species
UACGUAGGGAGCAAGCGUUGUCCGGAAUCAUUGGGCGUAAAGCGCGCGUAGGCGGCCUCGUAAGUCCGUUGUGAAAGUCAAAGGCUCAACCUUUGAACGCCGAUGGAUACUGCCGGGCUAGAGUCCGGAAGAGGCGAGUGGAAUUCCUGGUGUAGCGGUGGAAUGCGCAGAUAUCAGGAGGAACACCAAUAGCGAAGGCAGCUCGCUGGGACGGUACUGACGCUAAGGCGCGAAAGCGUGGGGAGCGAACAGG